CACGGGGGGAGCAAGCGUUGUUCGGAAUCACUGGGCGUAAAGGGCGUGUAGGCGGUCACGUAAGUGGAAUGUGAAACGCCUCGGCUUACCCGAGGACCUGCAUCCCAAACUGCUUGGCUUGAGUAUGGGAGAGGAUGAGGGAAUUCCUGGUGUAGCGGUGGAAUGCGCAGAUAUCAGGAGGAACACCGGUGGCGAAGGCGGGUCUCUGGGCAGUAACUGACGCUGAGAAGCGAAAGCGUGGGGAGCGAACAGG
rnacentral:rRNA from 1 species